UAAGCACGACUCCCGACAAUGGAUAUCUCGGCUCUCGCAUCGAUGAAGAACGUAGCGAAAUGCGAUACUUGGUGUGAAUUGCAGAAUCCCGUGAACCAUCGAG
rnacentral:rRNA from 1 species